UACAGAGGUGGCAAGCGUUGUUCGGAAUUACUGGGCGUAAAGGGCGCGUAGGCGGCCUUCUAAGUCAGACGUGAAAUCCCCCGGCUUAACCUGGGAACUGCGUCUGAUACUGGGAGGCUUGAGUAUGGGAGAGGGAUGUAGAAUUCCAGGUGUAGCGGUGAAAUGCGUAGAUAUCAGGAAGAACACCCGUGGCGAAGGCGGCUUUCUGGGACGGUACUGACGCUGAGACGCGAAAAGCGUGGGGGAGCGAACAGGG
rnacentral:rRNA from 1 species